GAAGACAUGCUCUUUCAAAGUGAAAGCAAAACGUCUUCACUAAAAGGGUGGAGAUUCAGCUCUAUUGUAGCAAGGACGUGUCAGGAAAACAAGAAACUAGCAGUCUAUUCAAGACAUGUCUCAGCAGAGUGAAACAGGUUUGGGGAGAAGGUUCUAUGUUCUUGUUGCAGGAAAAACCAAUGGGGCUCAUCAGUCCAUUGUUGAGAAGAUGAAGAACGUGGGCCAAGUUGAAGCACACUCCUUCUGGUUUUCUGUCCUAUAGCUUCACGUGUUCAAACAGACAUCAAUGAGGCCCUCAGAAAGAUUCAGAGCAAUAUACCAGUCAUUCUGGUGGUGAUGCAUCACACCUUCAACCCCAACCUCGUUAUAGCUGGAAGCAGAAAUCAAGUGCAGGAUCCGAACGUCCACCUCACUGUGGAUUAUUGUUUUUUUGAGCAUGAACUCCUCAACUGCAACCGCAAUAAAAUAUCGUGGCAUGAAAUUCAGAAGUUUCUCAGAGUUUCAAUUUCCAGGGCUUGGCUGCAAACUCUAAUUGAAGGUGUGAAGGAAAAUGCCCUUACUGUUACACUUUUUAUUGUGGAUGUUGCUUGUAUAACUUUCGUUGUGACAUGCAUUGUCUUGGCUGAAAAACGUCACUAAACCUGACCUGUAUGGCAAAGCUCA